AUGCCUCCGCAGAGCAGCCAGCAGGUACCUGCGGCUUCAUGUCUGAUCGCAGAAGCCAAGACAAUAGCUUUGUGGUUGCUCUGCUCUGAGCUGUUUCCAAAAACCCGGGGGCUGGUGGCGUGGCACAGCCUGGGCACGAAGCGUCCCCUCGGCUUUGUCCCCAGCCCGGCCGGCACCGUGGCUCUCGGGGUGCUGAGGCCUCGGGUGAUGCAGUGGGGGCAGCCAAAGUGGGGGCUGUGGGUGCGAGCGGUGUCACGCAGCCCACACGGGGUCCGGCACAGCAAAGCCAGCGCUGAGCCUGCAGACAUUGAGCACUGGGGAGGGGGCUGCAGAGGGGACAGGGGGGUCAAAACAUCCUGGGCAGUGGGUGACAAAAUCCCAGCCAUUGCUGGCGCCACGCUGACAAUGCCCAACUCAUGGGACCCCGCUCCCCCUGAGCAAACAUCUCCGUGUCCCUCCGUGUCCCUCCGUGUCCCCUCGCCCACCUGGGGCUGGGGGGUGCCCGGAUCAGGGACCCCCCUCGCGCAGCCCAGCUGGGGCUGGCAGGAAGCUUUAGGGUUUGUCACUAGCUCUUUGCGGUCGUGCGCGAGCUGUGAACCAGCUUCUCUAGAGUUUGCUCAUGAGGCAGGAAACCAGGGCAGGCGGCGAGCAAGAGCGAGCAGCGGCGGCGGCAGGGAGCGCGCGCCCGCCUGCGGGGUCGUGGCUGCGCACCCGGCCGGUCACCGCGUGCCCGCUGCUGAUGGGGAGGACGUGAACGGGGUCGGGGUCCUCACUGCUGCUGCCCGGCCAUGGGAGUGUGAGAGCUGCUCGUCCUCACCUUGCUGCCACCAGGUAACGGGGGCCGGGGCAGGGGUCUGCGCCCCUCAACGGGUGCCGGGAUCCGCGGGGUGCCUGGGGCAGGGGGUGUUGUGCUCUCCGAUGUGGCUCCGUGGAGGGGUGUUAAUGGGGGAUCACCACUGUGGCACUGGGAGCACUGGUUCCAUAGGGAGUCGGGAGGUGACACAGGGAGCAGCCCCAGUGCUCCCCGUCCCGCUGCGGCCACCCAGGGGGGGUGACAGCGGCUGCCCCGCUGCCUGGUGCCCACCCAGGGUGUGA
rnacentral:lncRNA from 1 species